UGGGGAAUUUUCCGCAAUGGGCGCAAGCCUGACGGAGCAAUACCGCGUGAGGGAGGAAGGCCUUUGGGUUGUAAACCUCUUUUCUUAAGGAAGAAGAACUGACGGUACUUAAGGAAUCAGCAUCGGCUAACUCCGUGCCAGCAGCCGCGGUAAUACGGAGGAUGCAAGCGUUAUCCGGAAUUAUUGGGCGUAAAGCGUCCGCAGGCGGCACUAUAAGUCUGCUGUCAAAGACCGCAGCUCAACUGCGGAAAGGCAGUGGAAACUGUAGAGCUAGAGUACGGUAGGGGUAGAGGGAAUUCCCAGUGUAGCGGUGAAAUGCGUAGAGAUUGGGAAGAACACCAGUGGCGAAAGCGCUCUACUGGGCCGUAACUGACGCUCAGGGACGAAAGCUAGGGGAGCGAAAGGGAUUAGAUACCCCCGUAGUCC
rnacentral:rRNA from 1 species